GCUUAACACAUGCAAGUCGAACGAUAUAGUGGCAGACGGGUGAGUAACGCGUGGGAAUCUGCCUAGUAGUGGGGGAUAACAAUCGGAAACGGUUGCUAAUACCGCAUGUACCCUACGGGGGAAAGGCUUCGGCCGCUAUUAGAUGAGCCCGCGUAAGAUUAGCUUGUUGGUGGGGUAAAGGCCUACCAAGGCGACGAUCUUUAGCUGGUCUGAGAGGACGAUCAGCCACACUGGGACUGAGACACGGCCCAGACUCC
rnacentral:rRNA from 1 species